rnacentral:snRNA from 1 species
UCCCAGUUCCGAACCCGUCGGCUGUC